CGCAGAUAUCAGGAGGAACACCGAUGGCGAAGGCAGGUCUCUGGGCAUUAACUGACGCUGAGGAGCGAAAGCAUGGGGAGCGAACAGGAUUAGAUACCCUGGUAGUCCAUGCCGUAAACGUUGGGCACUAGGUGUGGGGGACAUUCCACGUUUUCCGCGCCGUAGCUAACGCAUUAAGUGCCCCGCCUGGGGAGUACGGCCGCAAGGCUAAAACUCAAAGGAAUUGACGGGGGCCCGCACAAGCGGCGGAGCAUGCGGAUUAAUUCGAUGCAACGCGAAGAACCUUACCAAGGCUUGACAUGGGCCGGACCGCCGCAGAAAUGUGGUUUCCCCUUUGGGGCCGGUUCACAGGUGGUGCAUGGUUGUCGUCAGCUCGUGUCGUGAGAUGUUGGGUUAAGUCCCGCAACGAGCGCAACCCUCGUUCUAUGUUGCCAGCGCGUGAUGGCGGGGACUCAUAGGAGACUGCCGGGGUCAACUCGGAGGAAGGUGGGGACGACGUCAAAUCAUCAUGCCCCUUAUGUCUUGGGCUUCACGCAUGCUACAAUGGCCGGUACAAAGGGUUGCGAUACUGUGAGGUGGAGCUAAUCCCAAAAAGCCGGUCUCAGUUCGGAUUGGGGUCUGCAACUCGACCCCAUGAAGUCGGAGUCGCUAGUAAUCGCAGAUCAGCAACGCUGCGGUGAAUACGUUCCCGGGCCUUGUACACACCGCCCGUCAAGUCACGAAAGUUGGUAACACCCGAAGCCGGUGGCCUAACCCCUUGUGGGAGGGAGCUGUCGAAGGUGGGACUGGCGAUGGACUAA
rnacentral:rRNA from 1 species